rnacentral:rRNA from 2 species
GGGUUGUGAGGUUAAGCGACUAAGCGUACACGGUGGAUGCCCUGGCAGUCAGAGGCGAUGAAGGACGUGCUAAUCUGCGAUAAGCGUCGGUGAGGUGAUAUGAACCGUUAUAACCGGCGAUUUCCGAAUGGGGAAACCCAGUGUGAUUCGUCACACUAUCAUUAACUGAAUCCAUAGGUUAAUGAGGCGAACCGGGGGAACUGAAACAUCUAAGUACCCCGAGGAAAAGAAAUCAACCGAGAUUCCCCCAGUAGCGGCGAGCGAACGGGGAGGAGCCCAGAGCCUGAAUCAGUGUGUGUGUUAGUGGAAGCGUCUGGAAAGGCGCGCGAUACAGGGUGACAGCCCCGUACACAAAAAUGCACAUAUUGUGAGCUCGAUGAGUAGGGCGGGACACGUGGUAUCCUGUCUGAAUAUGGGGGGACCAUCCUCCAAGGCUAAAUACUCCUGACUGACCGAUAGUGAACCAGUACCGUGAGGGAAAGGCGAAAAGAACCCCGGCGAGGGGAGUGAAAAAGAACCUGAAACCGUGUACGUACAAGCAGUGGGAGCCUCUUCAUGGGGUGACUGCGUACCUUUUGUAUAAUGGGUCAGCGACUUAUAUUCUGUAGCAAGGUUAACCGAAUAGGGGAGCCGAAGGGAAACCGAGUCUUAACUGGGCGUUAAGUUGCAGGGUAUAGACCCGAAACCCGGUGAUCUAGCCAUGGGCAGGUUGAAGGUUGGGUAACACUAACUGGAGGACCGAACCGACUAAUGUUGAAAAAUUAGCGGAUGACUUGUGGCUGGGGGUGAAAGGCCAAUCAAACCGGGAGAUAGCUGGUUCUCCCCGAAAGCUAUUUAGGUAGCGCCUCGUGAAUUCAUCUCCGGGGGUAGAGCACUGUUUCGGCAAGGGGGUCAUCCCGACUUACCAACCCGAUGCAAACUGCGAAUACCGGAGAAUGUUAUCACGGGAGACACACGGCGGGUGCUAACGUCCGUCGUGAAGAGGGAAACAACCCAGACCGCCAGCUAAGGUCCCAAAGUCAUGGUUAAGUGGGAAACGAUGUGGGAAGGCCCAGACAGCCAGGAUGUUGGCUUAGAAGCAGCCAUCAUUUAAAGAAAGCGUAAUAGCUCACUGGUCGAGUCGGCCUGCGCGGAAGAUGUAACGGGGCUAAACCAUGCACCGAAGCUGCGGCAGCGACACUAUGUGUUGUUGGGUAGGGGAGCGUUCUGUAAGCCUGUGAAGGUGGCCUGUGAGGGUUGCUGGAGGUAUCAGAAGUGCGAAUGCUGACAUAAGUAACGAUAAAGCGGGUGAAAAGCCCGCUCGCCGGAAGACCAAGGGUUCCUGUCCAACGUUAAUCGGGGCAGGGUGAGUCGACCCCUAAGGCGAGGCCGAAAGGCGUAGUCGAUGGGAAACAGGUUAAUAUUCCUGUACUUGGUGUUACUGCGAAGGGGGGACGGAGAAGGCUAUGUUGGCCGGGCGACGGUUGUCCCGGUUUAAGCGUGUAGGCUGGUUUUCCAGGCAAAUCCGGAAAAUCAAGGCUGAGGCGUGAUGACGAGGCACUACGGUGCUGAAGCGACAAAUGCCCUGCUUCCAGGAAAAGCCUCUAAGCAUCAGGUAACAUCAAAUCGUACCCCAAACCGACACAGGUGGUCAGGUAGAGAAUACCAAGGCGCUUGAGAGAACUCGGGUGAAGGAACUAGGCAAAAUGGUGCCGUAACUUCGGGAGAAGGCACGCUGAUAUGUAGGUGAAGCGACUUGCUCGUGGAGCUGAAAUCAGUCGAAGAUACCAGCUGGCUGCAACUGUUUAUUAAAAACACAGCACUGUGCAAACACGAAAGUGGACGUAUACGGUGUGACGCCUGCCCGGUGCCGGAAGGUUAAUUGAUGGGGUUAGCGGUAACGCGAAGCUCUUGAUCGAAGCCCCGGUAAACGGCGGCCGUAACUAUAACGGUCCUAAGGUAGCGAAAUUCCUUGUCGGGUAAGUUCCGACCUGCACGAAUGGCGUAAUGAUGGCCAGGCUGUCUCCACCCGAGACUCAGUGAAAUUGAACUCGCUGUGAAGAUGCAGUGUACCCGCGGCAAGACGGAAAGACCCCGUGAACCUUUACUAUAGCUUGACACUGAACAUUGAGCCUUGAUGUGUAGGAUAGGUGGGAGGCUUUGAAGUGUGGACGCCAGUCUGCAUGGAGCCGACCUUGAAAUACCACCCUUUAAUGUUUGAUGUUCUAACGUGGGCCCCUUACCGGGGUUGCGGACAGUGUCUGGUGGGUAGUUUGACUGGGGCGGUCUCCUCCUAAAGAGUAACGGAGGAGCACGAAGGUUGGCUAAUCCUGGUCGGACAUCAGGAGGUUAGUGCAAUGGCAUAAGCCAGCUUGACUGCGAGCGUGACGGCGCGAGCAGGUGCGAAAGCAGGUCAUAGUGAUCCGGUGGUUCUGAAUGGAAGGGCCAUCGCUCAACGGAUAAAAGGUACUCCGGGGAUAACAGGCUGAUACCGCCCAAGAGUUCAUAUCGACGGCGGUGUUUGGCACCUCGAUGUCGGCUCAUCACAUCCUGGGGCUGAAGUAGGUCCCAAGGGUAUGGCUGUUCGCCAUUUAAAGUGGUACGCGAGCUGGGUUUAGAACGUCGUGAGACAGUUCGGUCCCUAUCUGCCGUGGGCGCUGGAGAACUGAGGGGGGCUGCUCCUAGUACGAGAGGACCGGAGUGGACGCAUCACUGGUGUUCGGGUUGUCAUGCCAAUGGCACUGCCCGGUAGCUAAAUGCGGAAGAGAUAAGUGCUGAAAGCAUCUAAGCACGAAACUUGCCCCGAGAUGAGUUCUCCCUGACUCCUUGAGAGUCCUGAAGGAACGUUGAAGACGACGACGUUGAUAGGCCGGGUGUGUAAGCGCAGCGAUGCGUUGAGCUAACCGGUACUAAUGAACCGUGAGGCUUAACCUUACAACGCCGAAG